GCAGGGGUCACACCCGAUCCCAUCCCGAACUCGGAAGUUAAGUCCUGCCGCGCGAAUGGUACUGCUGGGGCGACCCGGUGGGAGAGUACGUCGCUGCCAGCC
rnacentral:rRNA from 1 species